rnacentral:rRNA from 1 species
CCUACGGGAUGCUGCAGUGGGGAAUAUUGCGCAAUGGGCGAAAGCCUGACGCAGCGACGCCGCGUGAGGGAUGGAGGUCUUCAGAUCGUAAACCUCUGUCAGCAGGGAAGAACGGUCACUGUGCUAAUCAGCAGUGAAUUGACGGUACCUGCAAAGGAAGCACCGGCUAACUCCGUGCCAGCAGCCGCGGUAAUACGGAGGGUGCGAGCGUUAAUCGGAAUUACUGGGCGUAAAGCGCUCGUAGGCGGUAUGUCAAGUCAAGGGUGAAAUCCCCGCGCUCAACGUGGGAACUGCCUUUGAAACUGGCAAACUGGAGUGUGUGAGAGGAUGGUGGAAUUCCAGGUGUAGGAGUGAAAGCCGUAGAUAUCUGGAGGAACAUCAGUGGCGAAGGCGACUAUCUGGCACAUAACUGACGCUGAGGAGCGAAAGCGUGGGUAGCAAACAGGAUUAGAUACCCCAGUAGUC